UACGUAGGGUGCAAGCGUUGUCCGGAAUUAUUGGGCGUAAAGAGCUCGUAGGCGGUUUGUCGCGUCUGCUGUGAAAACUCGGGGCUUAACCCCGGGCCUGCAGUGGGUACGGGCAGACUAGAGUGCGGUAGGGGAGACUGGAAUUCCUGGUGUAGCGGUGAAAUGCGCAGAUAUCAGGAGGAACACCGGUGGCGAAGGCGGGUCUCUGGAACGCAACUGACGCUGAGACGCGAAAGCUAGGGGAGCAAACGGG
rnacentral:rRNA from 1 species